rnacentral:rRNA from 1 species
CCCUUAGAUGUCCUGGGCCGCACGCGCGCUACACUGAGUGUCUGAGAUACGAGUCUGCCUGGUCCGGCAAGGUCUAGGUAAUCGCUAAAAGACACAUCAUGCUUGGGAUAGAUUAUUGCAAAUAUUAAUCUUGAACGAGGAAUUCCUAGUAAGCGCAAGUCAACAGCUUGCGUUGAUUACGUCCCUGCCCUUUGUACACACCGCCCGUCGCUACUACUGAUUGGAUGUUUAAGCGAGGUUCUCGAACUGCUAGCGACUUAGCUUCGGUGAGGUCGCAGUGUGGGAAGUGAACCGAGCUUUGGUGUUUAGAGGAAGUAAAAGUCGUAACA